rnacentral:misc_RNA from 1 species
AACGGUCUAUACCUGCGGUACCUGCGGAGGGAUCAUUACCGAGUUAUCAACUCCCAAACCCCUGUGAACAUACCCGAACGUUGCCUCGGCGGGACCGCCCCGGCGCCCCUAGCGGCCCGGAACCAGGCGCCCGCCGGAGGACCCAAACUCUUGCUUUAAACAGUGGCAUACUCUCUGAGUCUCACAUACAAAAAAUAAAUCAAAACUUUCAGCAAUGGAUCUCUAGAUCGGAAGAGCACA